AUGCAUUGAGUGUUUUAUUCCAUAUACCGAAGUAGUAUAUGAGGACUAAACUACACCCACAAUCCUUAAAUACUAAAUACUAAACAUUAAUCCAUUCUGAAUUUUCUAUACCAUAUCAUUAAAUUAGUAUAUGACUCCAAACCCACUCACAACUCGUAAAUACUAAACUUUACUCCAAACCCUCAUUCCUAAAUACUAUACCCUAAAC
rnacentral:lncRNA from 1 species